GUAACACUAACUGGAGGACCGAACCGACUAAUGUUGAAAAAUUAGCGGAUGACCUGUGGCUGGGGGUGAAAGGCCAAUCAAACCGGGAGAUAGCUGGUUCUCCCCGAAAGCUAUUUAGGUAGCGCCUCGUGAAUUCAUCUCCGGGGGUAGAGCACUGUUUCGGCUAGGGGGCCAUCCCGGCUUACCAACCCGAUGCAAACUGCGAAUACCGGAGAAUGUUAUCACGGGAGACACACGGCGGGUGCUAACGUCCGUCGUGAAGAGGGAAACAACCCAGACCGCCAGCUAAGGUCCCAAAGUCAUGGUUAAGUGGGAAACGAUGUGGGAAGGCCCAGACAGCCAGGAUGUUGGCUUAGAAGCAGCCAUCAUUUAAAGAAAGCGUAAUAGCUCACUGGUCGAGUCGGCCUGCGCGGAAGAUGUAACGGGGCUAAACCAUGCACCGAAGCUGCGGCAGCGACACUGUGUGUUGUUGGGUAGGGGAGCGUUCUGUAAGC
rnacentral:rRNA from 1 species